GUCCCUUCCGUAGGUGAACCUGCGGAAGGAUCAUUA
rnacentral:rRNA from 1 species